GAUUUUUUUGAUGAUGAAGAUGAUGAUGCUGCAAAAAGUAACUCUGAAGUUGGAGAUUCUAGCGCAUGAAGAUCUUCAACGAGCUGGUUGCUGGCAUAUAAACUUGUCUAGAGAGUAAAGCUGGUUGCUGCAGUCUUUAACGAGCAAAGAAUAUGUGAAAGACUUUGUUUAUUUGAAUAUGAAAUUUCUUGCUAUUUAUAUGACUCAAAGCUUUUAAACUUAUUUUGUGACAAUCAAUAAUGUGAAACUUCUUACUAUUUAUAUGACUCAAA